GCUGGAGUGGCGAAAUCGGCAGACGCAUCGGACUUAAAAUCCGAAGGGUGGUAAUCCCCCCGUACGGGUUCAAGUCCCGUCUCCAGCA
rnacentral:tRNA from 1 species